rnacentral:misc_RNA from 1 species
AAGGAUCAUUAAUGAGAUCAUGCCCUUCGGGGUAGACCUCCCACCCUCUGUAUACAAUACCUUUGUUGCUUUGGCGGCCCCGUCGCAAGACAACCGGCUCCGGCUGGUCAGCGGCCGCCAGAGGAAUCAAAACUCUUAUUAUUAUUGUCGUCUGAGUACUAUAUAAUAGUUAAAACUUUCAACAACGGAUCUCUUGGUUCUG